UUGAAGAGCGGUGAAGGGGGAAAGGCCAAAAUUCUGAAAUUGGAUGUAUAUGUAAGAGAAUGUGAAGUGAAAUUGGUAGCUAUGAAAUUGGGAUUUCACAUUUGAUUACAAAAAAGUGAACUAUCAGCUAAAGUCGGCAAGAAGCCCGCCAACAAGAAUUGGAAAUAAGCUUGCUUUCUGGGCUUGCAAAAUGGACUUUUUGAAAUUUGUAUAUGCAAUCUGCAAAGGCUUAGGGGCGAUGGGUGUGGCCGGAGUGGUAGCAGCAGGAUGUGGUGGUGGCGGUAGGAUGAGGUGGUGGUGGUAAUAUGUGGUGGUUAGGACAAGAUAUAUAGUGUAUAUGUAAUUUUUUGGUUUUAUUUAUUAAAUAGUGUAUAUGAAUAAACUUAACUGAAAAUUAUAAUCUGGUUAGUACUAAAGGACGUAGAGUGUAACGGGUUUUGCAAAUAAAGGAUUAUUGAAGUUAAAGGUUAUCCGUUGCAAUCCGGUACAAACAUAAAGGACGAAAAGUGUAAUUUACCCAAGUUAAUUAUCUUUAUCGUUUUU
rnacentral:lncRNA from 1 species